rnacentral:rRNA from 1 species
UGCUUAGCCCUAAACUUCAACAGUUAAAUUAACAAAACUGCUCGCCAGAAACACUACGCAGUCCACAGCGUUAAAACUCAAAGGACCUGGCGGGUGCUUCAUAUCCCUCUAGAGGAGCCUGUUCUGUAAUCGAUAAACCCCGAUCAACCUCACCGCCUCUUGCUCAGCCUAUAUACCGCCAUCUUCAGCAAACCCUGAUGAAGGUUACAAAGUAAGCGCAAGUACCCACGUAAGGACGUUAGGUCAAGGUGUAGCCUAUGAGGUGGCAAGAAAUGGGCUACAUUUUCUACCCCAGAAAAUUACCGAUAACCCUUAUGAAACCUAAGGGUCGAAGGUGGAUUUAGCAGUAAACUAAGAGUAGAGUGCUUAGUUGAACAGGGCCCUGAAGCGCGU